CAAUCACCCGUGUCUCACCCCACUCCCACCCCAGCCGCCAAACGAACCCUAGCCCUCUUUCUCCUUCCCCUCGAUCCCCAUGAGCCGCCGCGCCCCUCCCUCGAUCCCCAGUUCCCCACGAUCCUCUCCUAGCCCGCAGCCACCGGCCUUGUCUCUCCACUCGCCUCCUCCUUUCCUCUACCAUGUCGUUGUCGAUCCCACCGCCGGCCUUCUCCUCUGCUUGCCUCCUCCAGUCCUCUUCCAUGUCACCGUCAAUCCAGAUCGGACCCUCUCCUUGCGCGCCCCGUGUUCCCCCUUCCAGCCGAUUGGGCACAGCCGCACCAACCCUAGCCCCCGAUGCAGCCAUCCACUCCUCCCUCCUCCCCCUCCCCCUCCCACAGCCAUCGCACCCAUCACUUGGCCCCCUGGCGACGCCCGGGUCGGGCCUGGGAAGAAGGUCCGGGCCUGCGAGGGAAAGCAGCGAGGGUUGGUGCAACGGCAAAUGCAGGCGGGAUCUGCCGUGGAGGGAGGCUCGUCAGCCGGAACAACAGGAGCAAGGAGGUCGUGCAGGCGCAAAUGCUGGCGGGGUCGGCCAUGGAAGAAGGCUCGCUGGACGGAGCAUCAAGACCAGGGAAGUCGAGGUGGUUCAGGUUUGCCUCUAUCUCCUCCCCACUCUAUCUUUGCCCUCUCUCUUAUUUUCCCCUUUGUCUUGUGGAUAAGGGCGUCAGUGCACCACGAGGAGUAGAUCGAGCGUGGAACAUAGCAGCAGGAUCAAGGAGCUGCUGGUGGUUCUGGCAACAAGGAGGAUGAUCAAGAAGGAUUGGGGAACACCAGCAAAAAAAGUACUGGGGAAGACGGGCGGGACGAAGGCAUGGAGAUCGUUGUUUGGCGCCAACGUGCGUUUGGUGUUGAUUGCUGGCUGGCUGACUGCGGUGUGCUACCGGCGAUGAGAUCCAGGAGGAGGUGGCGGCGGACAGGAGACGAGGACCUUUUUGCUUGCAUUCUCGUGUCUUUUGGCAAGGAGAAAAUUAUCAUUUGGAGGGGAAAAGACACAUGAAAACAUGCAAGAUAGUAUAUGCAAUUGGCAUACCCUUCAGUUCUUGAAUAAGAGUUCAGUGGUGAAGAACACUACAAUUUUUUGGUUGAUGGAUUGGUCUGAAUAUAUUGUAAGGUAUUUUCCAUGAAGUGGUUAUUCAAAGAAUGGAACCGAUUUUAUGAUUUUGCCUAUUCUCUGAGAUGGAUGAUGAUGAGCGGUGCAACCGAAAAUUCAGAGCUGGGCUUUACACACUUCAGUGGGAGUAGCAUGACAACACCAAGGUAGAGACCUGAAGAGAAGCAAGGGGUUGGACCAAGGAAACUAGAACCAUGUUGUCGUGAUGUGGGUCGUGUCGUCUUCGUCCAUCUCCAUGGAGGUAUAUAUACACAGAGAAAUUUAGAGCUCCACAACCUUCUGAAGACUUAGCAGAGAUGAAGCAAUCAAUCAGUUGAGAUGCACCACAUGAUCUUUUUCUCUUGACAUUGAUGGGUAUUGAACCCAUAGAUCAGCUUAUCAAUGGAACUCUUAUCGAGUUGAGAAGGUGUCACAAAAACUAAAGAGCAGUUUUAACAUGGUCCCUGAUUAACUCUUACCUCCUUACCUAUUAUGUGAAGGGGGUAAGAGGGACCUUGUUAAAAUUAGCGAAAACUCAAAAACAGGGCGAUUAGCUAAGGAAAGAAGCUAAGAAGCAUCAGGAAGGACUUUUAGGAUGGUACCGCGGUCAAUGAGGGACGGAUUGGUUUUUGCUAACUCAUUGGGGAUUAGCUGUUUGGAGGCGGAAUCUGAUUCUCUAUAAGUCAUCAAUUUUUGCUCGGGCCAAACAAGAUGGUGGGACAAAGCGGCAACGCUUUUCGCAGAAUGUGUGGAUUUAAGCACAUCGACCGGGAAGGUCAUCUACAAGCAUUGUUUACAUUCUUGUAACCGUGCAGCAUGUGCUAGCAAACUUCAGUUAUUGUAAUAGGCUUCUUAUAUUUGGUUACAUGAGCCUCCUGACAUGUUGGUUAGGGAGCUUGUGGACGAUGUAAACAUUAUCCAUAAUUAAUAAAGCUAGCCAUGAUGGUCUUUCCUCAAAAA